GAUGAACGCUGGCGGCGUGCCUAAUACAUGCAAGUCGAGCGAACGGACGAGAAUCUUGCUUCUCUGAUGUUAGCGGCGGACGGGUGAGUAACACGUGGAUAACCUACCUAUAAGACUGGGAUAACUUCGGGAAACCGUAGCUAAUACCGGAUAUAUUUUGAACCGCAUGGUUCAAAAGUGAAAGACGGUCUUGCUGUCACUUAUAGAUGGAUCCGCGCUGCAUUAGCUAGUUGGUAAGGUAACGGCUUACCAAGGCAACGAUGCAUAGCCGACCUGAGAGGGUGAUCGGCCACACUGGAACUGGAACACGGUCAAGACUCCUACGGGAGGCAGCAGUAGGGAAUCUUCCGCAAUGGGCGAAAGCCUGACGGAGCAACGCCGCGUGAGUGAUGAAGGUCUUCGGAUCGUAAAACUCUGUUAUUAGGGAAGAACAUAUGUGUAAGUAACUGUGCACAUCUUGACGGUACCUAAUCAGAAAGCAACGGCUAACUACGUG
rnacentral:rRNA from 1 species